rnacentral:rRNA from 1 species
GAUGAACGCUGGCGGCGUGCCUAAUACAUGCAAGUCGAGCGAACAGACGAGGAGCUUGCUCCUCUGACGUUAGCGGCGGACGGGUGAGUAACACGUGGAUAACCUACCUAUAAGACUGGGAUAACUUCGGGAAACCGGAGCUAAUACCGGAUAAUAUAUUGAACCGCAUGGUUCAAUAGUGAAAGACGGUUUUGCUGUCACUUAUAGAUGGAUCAGCGCCGCAUUAGCUAGUUGGUAAGGUAACGGCUUACCAAGGCAACAAUGCGUAGCCGACCUGAGAGGGUGAUCGGCCACACUGGAACUGAGACACGGUCCAGACUCCUACGGGAGGCAGCAGUAGGGAAUCUUCCGCAAUGGGCGAAAGCUUGACGGAGCAACGCCGCGUGAGUGAUGAAGGUCUUCGGAUCGUAAAACUCUGUUAUUAGGGAAGAACAAAUGUGUAAGUAACUAUGCACGUCUUGACGGUACCUAAUCAGAAAGCCACGGCUAACUACGUG